rnacentral:rRNA from 1 species
UACGAAGGGGGCUAGCGUUGCUCGGAAUCACUGGGCGUAAAGGGUGCGUAGGCGGGUCUUUAAGUCAGGGGUGAAAUCCUGGAGCUCAACUCCAGAACUGCCUUUGAUACUGAGGAUCUUGAGUUCGGAGAGGUGAGUGGAACUGCGAGUGUAGAGGUGAAAUUCGUAGAUAUUCGCAAGAACACCAGUGGCGAAGGCGGCUCACUGGCCCGAUACUGACGCUGAGGCACGAAAGCGUGGGGAGCAACAGG